UCUUCAGACAUCUAAUUUACCUCAGGUUUAUUAUGAGAAAAAAAUGAAGGAGGUACUGAGAGGAGGAGAUAAAGAACAAGAACACACCAUAUUAGCUGUUGGAUGUGGAAACUCAGCUCCAGGGCCUACAGUUACUCCAGGAAAUGUGAUGACUGUAGCAUUUCAGUCACAGAACAUUUCAGGAUGUGGGUUUUCUGUAUCAUUUAUAAACAGAGCCAGUAAGAUCACGGGAUACAGAGGAUGAUGAGCAGAAUGGAAUGAAACACACUAAUCUUAUUCUUCACGUCAUCUUUUUUCAUUUUUCCCAUUUCCUCUGCUGAAGCCUUUCUGUUUGGAACAGCCCCAGUUCAUUCUGUACAUAGACCAAAGCAGCCUUACUUUGGUCUCUGAUCAGUUCAUCAAAAGUCUAGCAUUUUCAAAUGAAUUAUAAAUUGAUUAAUUCUUUAAAAAUGAAGAUAAUAUUGCUUUAUAUUCUUAAUAUUGUUAUUUACUGUGCCCUUUCUGCAAUUGUGAUUAGACCAUCAGCUUCAAUUAUUAUCUGUUACAAGAUUUGAUAGCUUAGUAGUAUCCUAAUUCGAAAUAUUUGAGCUCCCUCAACUAUGAAGGAUAUUUUCAGGGAACAUAAUUCUUCUCUGAAAACAAGUAUGAAGAGUAAGAGAGCUUGCUAAAAAGCAAGCAUUAUUUAGCACAUGCCUCUAUUGUGGAAUUCCAAAAUAACUAUUUGUUAAUUUGUCUCUGUAUACAAAUAAAUACUCCCCCCCCCCACCUUUCAAGUGUUAACAGAAGAAAUAAAAAAUCAUCUCCUUCUUAGGAAGUCUUCCA